rnacentral:rRNA from 1 species
UACAGAGGGUGCAAGCGUUAAUCGGGGUUACUGGGCGUAAAGGGUGCGUAGGUGGUUUUAUAAGUUAGGUGUGAAAUUCCUGGGCUUAACCUGGGGACUGCGCCUAAUACUGUAGAGCUAGAGUACUGUAGAGGAAGGUGGAAUUUCCAGUGUAGCAGUGAAAUGCGUAGAUAUUGGAAGGAACAUCGGUGGCGAAGGCGACCUUCUGGACAGAUACUGACACUGAGGCACGAAAGCGUGGGGAGCAAACAGG